ensembl:lncRNA
CUUUAUCAAGACUUUUGUGGUGAAGAUUUACAACAUAGUUAUUGUUAAUUACUGUAUUGACAAUUGUUAUCCUGCUUGAAACCAAAUCCACUUAGGUGAAGAUUUGUAAACUUUAUAAGUCACUGGUGAGUCCUCUUUUUCUAUGAUAGACUGACUAGAGUUUAUUAUUUUCUUCAUCAAUUUGGACCGAAGAGUAAGCCUGAGGCGUAAGGCCGCUCCUGCCCCGGAGGCUCAGACCUUGCCUGAGGUCACGGGGGAACCUGGAGCCUAUCCCAGGUGCACAAGGCAUGGUACACCCUGGACAGGGUGCCAAUCCAUCGCAGGGCACACCCAUUUAUACACUACGGACACUUUACGCCAAUACCAUGCAUGUCUUUGGACUGGGGGAGGAAACUGGAGUACCCGGAGAAAACCUACGCAGCACGGGGAGAACAUGCAAACUCCGCACACACAUGACCCUGGCGGAACUCGAACCCUGGACGCUGGAGUUCAGGAUUGGGGAGCUACCUGCUGGAAUUCCUCUGCAGCUACUAAGUUUAUUUCUGCAGCCUGGCAUAUCCCAAGCCUACUAAGAGCCACUGGAUCAGGUUCUUGGUGUCCUGGUUUUGCGGCCCGGCCAGGGACUGGGUGGAGCAACUGGUCAGUACUGGGUCCCCCACUCUCCACGACGUCACCCAGUUCGUGGAACUUUUUGUCAAUUUGAUACUGGU